rnacentral:rRNA from 1 species
UACAGAGGGUGCAAGCGUUGUUCGGAAUUAUUGGGCGCAAAGCGCGUGUAGGCGGCUUAGCAAGUCGGGCGUGAAAGCCCUCGGCUCAACCGAGGAAGUGCACCCGAAACUGCUGAGCUUGAGUGCCGGAGAGGAUGGCGGAAUUCCCCAAGUAGAGGUGAAAUUCGUAGAUAUGGGGAGGAACACCGGUGGCGAAGGCGGCCAUCUGGACGGUAACUGACGCUGAGGCGCGAAAGCGCGGGGAUCAAACAGG